GACGAACGCUGGCGGCGUGCUUAACACAUGCAAGUCGAACGGAAAGGCCUCUUUCGGGGGGUACUCGAGUGGCGAACGGGUGAGUAACACGUGAGUAACCUGCCCUUGACUUUGGGAUAACUUCAGGAAACUGGGGCUAAUACCGGAUAGGAGCUCCUGCUGCAUGGUGGGGGUUGGAAAGUUUCGGCGGUUGGGGAUGGACUCGCGGCUUAUCAGCUUGUUGGUGGGGUAGUGGCUUACCAAGGCUUUGACGGGUAGUCGGCCUGAGAGGGUGACCGGCCAAAUUGGGAAUGAGAUACGGCCCAGACUCCUACGGGAGGCAGAAGGGGGGAAUAUUGCACAAGGGGUGGAAGCCUGAUGCAGCAACGCCGUGGGCGGGAGGACGGCCUUCGGGUUGUAAACCGCUUUCGCUCAUGACGAAGCUUUGUGUGACGGUAGUGGGUAAAGAAGCACCGGCUAACUACGUG
rnacentral:rRNA from 1 species